CAAAAGAGAGUGAACCCACCGAAAUGGUCGUCUCUAUCAAUCUAACAAUUGGGCAGCAUCGGCAGUUCAGAAUCAGCGUCGGCAGUUUAGAACCAAAAAUAUUCUGUCUCCGCGUAUCGCUCUUUUUCCGUUAUCUCAAAGCCUGACUGACUGGUGAAAGAUGAAUUUGGCGAUUUGACAGUUUGGGGCAAUUUUUCUGUUAUUUCGAAAAAAAGAAGUCCAUAAUGGACACCAAGUUGCCUCGUACAAAAUUAUCUGUGUACCUGUACAUUCCCAAUAUCAUAGGAUACAUAAGAAUACUCAUGAACUGCCUUGCCUUUGCCGUAUGCUUUUCCAACAAAAAGUUAUUUUCCAUUCUAUACCUAAUCAGCUUUGUCUGUGAUGCCUUGGAUGGCUACUUUGCCCGCAAGCUCAAUCAAGUUUCAACCUUUGGUGCUGUUUUGGACAUGGUGACAGACAGGAUUAGCACUGCUUGUCUUCUUGUCAUCCUCUCUCAAGUUUAUAGGCCUGGGUUGAUCUUUUUGUCAUUGCUUGCCUUAGAUAUUGCCAGCCAUUGGCUGCAAAUGUACAGCACUUUUUUGUUCGGUAGGGCUAGUCAUAAAGAUGUAAAAGACAGCACAAAUUGGCUUUUUAAGGCAUACUAUGGGAACAGGAUAUUUAUGGCUUACUGUUGUGUGUCAUGUGAGGUUCUUUACAUUAUUCUAUUUCUUGUUGCAAAAAACCAAACAAACGAUGUGAUUGAUGUUUUAGUAUAUACUGCAAAACAACAGAAUUCACUCCUGUCUCUUUUAGUUGCUUUAGCACUGUUUGGCUGGGCAAUCAAGCAAGCAAUCAACAUAAUUCAGCCGAAGUGGUGGUAAAAGACAGCUUAAUGAGAAUGGGCGCGAACUGGAUUCUUAACUUGGGAUUGUAGCAAGGUGUUCUAGUAACAAGGGAAGAGUCGCAAACAGCUCAAGGUUGCGUGUUUCAGAUUUAUGCAUUUUUUUGAAGAGUGUGCGGAAUUUUUAUACUCUAAAACU